AUGGAAUAUAUGACAGAGUAUCAUCACCAAAUCAUCUGACAUUCAUCAGGGUGGGCCAACUACAGCAUAGGUGGCGAUCACCUCAAAUUAAAAACCGUCCAAAUAUUUUUUCAGUUCAUUUGAGAGCAUGGUCCAAAAAAUGAAGCAGAUCAAAAUCUCAAGUGGGCCACUGAGACUUGAAUCUGCUUCAUUUUUUGGGACCAUGCGCUAAAAUGAGCUGAAAAAACGGAUGGACGGCGUAGAUAUACGACACAUAAUCAAGGUGGGCCCUGCGUCAGGGCCUCACCCACUAAGCUGUUACCCCGGCCUCACCUAAUCCGCUCCCUUUUAGAAGAGACAAAAAGAGGAACGAGGCUGCCAUAAGCUUCCACUAAAACGAGACAACGAGCCACAUGCAUUGUCGAUGAAGACCAAUCCAAACUGUUAAAAGCGAUGGCCAGGAAAGCGGAUGCGUGAAAACGGAGGAGGAAUUAUGGAGUAUCCGUUCCUUUGAUUAGGCAUAAGAAACCAAACAUGUGGGGCCUAGUUAAGUUGACCUGAGCGGUCUGAUUCGGUGGGCCCCGACAUGGACGAGGAUGCCCAGAAAGGUCUCCAGAUUGGAUGAUCUGGACCAUUGUUACAAAAAACCUAUAAGACUUUUGG